rnacentral:rRNA from 1 species
AGGAUUCCUUCAGUAGCGGCGAGCGAAGAAGGAAGAGCCCAGCACCGAAUCCUUCGCCCUGCGGCGCUUGGAACUGUGGUGUUUGAGUCGGGCCUCGGCGCGUUCUCUCUGCGUCCGCGUCCCUCUGAUCGGGGCUUUGCCCAUAGCGGGUGUCAGGCCUCUAGGGCGCGGAGAGUGCGAGCGCGGCUCGAUUCGGGAGUCGGGUUGUUUGAGAUUGCAGCCCAAAGUGGGUGGUAAACUCCAUCUAAGGCUAAAUAUUACCACGAGUCCGAUAGCGAACAAGUACCGUGAGGGAAAAUUGAAAAGAACUUUGAAGAGAGAGUUCAACAGUACGUGAAACCGUUUAGAGGUAAACGGACGGGAACGCAAAGUCUGCCGCUCGGAUUCAACUCGUCUGUUCGCGGGGGUUCGGCCUCGUGCAUCCUGCUUCUCUUCGGGGAGGCGGGAGCUCGUGGUCGCAUCGUUCUGCGGGCGAUGGGCGCACUUUCGGGCGGCGGAGCGCCACGACCGGUUUGCGGGCGAUCAAAAACCGUCGAGAGAGGUAACCUUCGCUUCGGCGUCGGCGCUAUAAUCUCGGCGUGUCGGCGGCUCGCUCGCGGACCGAGGACGACGUACGCGGCUGCGCGUCGACCCGGCGGGUUGUUCGGACGUUCGACUUGGGAGGACUGCUCGCGCAGUGCUUCCUGACCGCGUUCGGAUAUGCUCGUCGGACUCGGCGCGCGGCUCGGGGUCUGUGGCGAAUCGGUCGUCAACCCGUCCGACCCGUCUUGAAACACGGACCAAGGAGUCUAACACGUGCGCGAGUCGCAGGGUAGUACGAAACCCGAAGGCGCAACGAAAGUGAACCUUUUCUUACGAAUCGGUAGGUGGGAUCCCGGACCUUCGGCAACGAAGGAAUGGGCGCACCACCGGCCUGUCUCGGCCGCGACGUCGGCGAGGCGGAGCAAGAGCGUACGCGUUGGGACCCGAAAGAUGGUGAACUAUGCCUGAGCAGGAUGAAGCCAGAAGAAAUUCUGGUGGAGGUCCGCAGCGAUUGCUGACGUGCAAAUCGAUCGUCAAACUUGGUAUAGA